UGCAUCCAUAGUUUAAACGGGAAAAUUACAGUCUUCCAAACUGAGGUUGAGGGUUCGAUUCCCUCUGGAUGCU
rnacentral:tRNA from 1 species